rnacentral:rRNA from 1 species
UUCCAGACUCCUACGGGAGGCAGCAGUGAGGAAUAUUGGUCAAUGGGCGAGAGCCUGAACCAGCCAAGUCGCGUGAGGGAGGACGGCCCUACGGGUUGUAAACCUCUUUUGCCGGGGGACAAACGGCGGCACGCGUGCCGUCCUGAGGGUACCCGGAGAAAAAGCAUCGGCUAACUCCGUGCCAGCAGCCGCGGUAAUACGGAGGAUGCGAGCGUUAUCCGGAUUUAUUGGGUUUAAAGGGUGCGCAGGCGGAAUGUCAAGUCAGCGGUAAAAUUUCGGGGCUCAACCCCGUCGUGCCGUUGAAACUGGCGUUCUUGAGUGAGCGAGAAGUAUGCGGAAUGCGUGGUGUAGCGGUGAAAUGCAUAGAUAUCACGCAGAACUCCGAUUGCGAAGGCAGCAUACCGGCGCUCAACUGACGCUCAUGCACGAAAGCGUGGGUAUCGAACAGGAUUAGAUACCCCCGUACU